UACAGAGGGUGCAAGCGUUAAUCGGAAUUACUGGGCGUAAAGCGCGCGUAGGUGGUUUGUUAAGUUGGAUGUGAAAUCCCCGGGCUCAACCUGGGAACUGCAUUCAAAACUGGCAAGCUAGAGUAUGGUAGAGGGUGGUGGAAUUUCCUGUGUAGCGGUGAAAUGCGUAGAUAUAGGAAGGAACACCAGUGGCGAAGGCGACCACCUGGACUGAUACUGUCACUGAGGUGCGAAAGCGUGGGGAGCAAACAGG
rnacentral:rRNA from 1 species